UGAAUGAGUGUCAAAAAUCAAUACUAUAAAAUCUAAUAAAAAUUGAAUGUCGCUAAAGUAUAACCAACGUUUGUGUUGUACUGUAAUUGAAUUACAGUUAUCAUCAGAGAACAAUUAUGUUUUCUUAUAAAUAUUACUAUUACAAAAUAAAAUUAACAAAAUUAAGUCUCAAAAUCAAUAAUAAUAAACAACACAUUAAAGUAAAAUUUAUACCUUCUCAACUUCGCAUCGAAGCUAAUAAAAAAAUUUUAAAUAGUAUAUUGCAAAAUAAAAAUGACAAUUAUAUAAAAUUAUUAAAAAAAAUAUACUAAUUGAAUUAAUAUUUAUGCGUAAAAUGUCCAACAAUAAUACAAAUGUUUUUGUUAAUAGGAAAUUUAUUUAAAUACUAUAAAUUAAAAACUCAAUUUAAAACUUUUUUGAAGUUCUAGAACCUUAAGGACAGAUUGUUUUUUGUUAAUUUGGGGCAAAAUUGUACGUACUCGGAGUAAUUGAAUUUAAAGAAAUUGCUGAAUUAUCAACAAUACAACAUCAAGGUCAAUUUUUCAACAAUUAAGGGAAAUAAAUUAUAUAUGUACAGUGAUUAGUAAGCUCAUAUUAAACAACUUCUCCUUAUGAUCUGGACAACAUAUGAAUCAAGGUGAAUAAUAAAAAAAAAGAAGUCAUACUACUUAUAUUUUGAUUGAGUAUAAACUUAUAUCCGAAAUCUGAUAAAAAAAUGGAACACAUUGGAUUAUCGAAGAUAUCGGUUAAUAUAAUUUUUUUGAUACAUACUAUGAAUAAAACAAAUUUAUCUGUUAAUGUUCGGACUCAUUGCUAACGGUGAAUUGAUGAUGGGCAGACGUUGUGAGUUCUCUAAAUAGACUAUGAUCGAGUCAAAAAAUACAGUGUGCGAAAGUGACGGAAAACUCACA